UCUUCAUUUCACGCACUCUCUCACCGGUCAGAGAGAGAGGCGAGAGAGUGUGUGAAAUGGAGAGA
rnacentral:pre_miRNA from 1 species